UACGUAGGGUGCGAGCGUUAAUCGGAAUUACUGGGCGUAAAGCGUGCGCAGGCGGUUCGUUGUGUCGGCGGUGAAAGCCCCGGGCUCAACCUGGGAAUGGCCGUUGAAACUGGCGAACUGGAGUGUGGCAGAGGGGGGUGGAAUUCCGCGUGUAGCAGUGAAAUGCGUAGAUAUUGGGAGGAACACCAGUGGCGAAGGCGGCUCACUGGACCGGUACUGACGCUGAGGUGCGAAAGCGUGGGGAGCAAACAGG
rnacentral:rRNA from 1 species